ensembl:lncRNA
CUUUUUUUUUUUGAAAUGCCUGGCACUAUGACACAAAACAAACAGCACCCUGAUUGUAACGUCACGGCAGGUUUUUUAGUCUCAGGGAACAGCCGUAUUUGUGUACAGUGGGUGGGGUCAAUGUUGGAAAAAUGCUCUCAGGUUGCAUCAGUGUUUAAGAAUGUAUCUUAUGCGAAGGUCAGAGAGUAGAGGGGGGGUCAGGAGACUGGAAAAAAGCAGGGUGUGUUAAAAGUGAUUGAUUCUGCUGUGAUGAGCAGAAAGAAAAUCAAGUGUACAAUCAGAGGAAAGGGCAAUUUAAAAAUAGAUAGCAGACUGGAAUCUCAGGUUUACCUGAAGGCAUUACAAGUUCUGACACACCUUUCUCAGCUCUUCUGGAAUCUGGUAUGAAAUAAGAAACAGUUGUAAGUCUGUGCAUUAUGUAUCAGUGCGACUACUGAGGAAGAGAAAGGAAAAUCUAAACUGAAAUAAAAUAUGAGAACUAACGCAACACUGUGAGGAAGGCAGCUCGAGUUGGAAAAGACCUGCUGACCAUCUCAACAAGGCUUUGAUAUCACUCUGAGAAGAAGCCGGACAAACUUUGAACAAAGAUCAGACUGAGGAGUGGAUUCAGGACACUGCCUUUUAAAACUUGCUCAGAGAUGUCAGAGUCAUCCCAGAACCAUCUAAACAACCUUGAAAGUCUUCCACUGACUACUGUAACAGGAACAGGUCUUCAACAACCCGAGGAAACCUGCAGUCAAGUAAUCUGUGAGGACUCUACUGCGUCCUGCUGCAAUGACAAGUACCACAGGAAACUGGCCGUCUGUAGCAUCAUCUGCGGGUUUUCCUGCUGCGGAGUCCCAGCUUUGAUUUAUUCUGUCAAGGCUGAGGAUGCUGAAAAAGCUGAGAAGGCCGAGCCGACGACAGACAGGAGAGCUCCAGAGUAUUUAAGACAGGCCAAAAAAUGGGGCAUCAUCUCCAUCGUGACGUGGGUUUCCGUUCUAGUGUCAGCUCCAUUGCUGCUGGCACUGGGCUCAUAUCUCGCCACUUUGAUUGACUGAUCAACCUCAAAGGAGAACAGCCAGAGGAGUGUCUCUGCUGAUGUUUAAGGAGACGGACAGUGGAGAGCAGGAAGCUGCUGAAUCAAUGGCUACGAACACCAAAGCUGUGGAGAAACUACAGGUUACAUUAAAUGGAAAAAGGCUGUCUUGGUUUUUCUUACGCUGAAAUGGGUGCUGUCCUAAUUUAUACUUUUCUAGCUCCUUUAGUUUUUACACAAAGAACAAACAUCUUUCAAAAUAGUAUUAAAUGUCUAACAACUGUUUUUGUUAUAUGCUGUGAUAUUUAUUAAACCAUCUGUUGACCCGUGGACUAUACGAACGUACAUGUAUAUAUUAUAGAUUGAAGACUAAAGCUGUUAUAUAUAAUAUAAAGCUACUUAAAUGUAAAGCUGCUCCCGUAAAGACUCAAUCCUUAAUAUUCUUACAGUUAUACUUUAACUUUCUUACUGUAGAUGACUACAGAUGCUAUAUAAGUUAAUCAAUCAAUCAACAAGUCACUUUAAAAUGAGGCAACUUGUGACUUUAGGAUUGAGUCUCUACUGGAGAUAAAAUGCGAGGCAGUGAUUGGGGCAGUGCUUUAUCAGGACAUUAUGAGGUCCUGUUCUUGCUAUUUUAGUUUAUUAAUGUCAAAUGUAUAUAUAUGCUGCACUUUUAUACAAACAUUAACAAACAAUUUUAUAAUAAAAUGAGGAAACUUUUAUGGUCUUCAUCCACUUGAAACAUUUUAACAUGUACUCAUUAAAAAAACGUUGCCAUGGGAUUAUUGCAUUGUUACAAUAUUUACUUCAUUAAUGUCAAAUGUAUAUAUAUACACAUGUUGUACUUUUAUACAAGCAUUAACACAAGCUGUUUUCUAAUAAAAUGACAGAUUUUUUAUGCUUUGA